AACGAACGCUGGCGGCAGGCUUAACACAUGCAAGUCGAACGCAUCCUUCGGGGUGAGUGGCAGACGGGUGAGUAACGCGUGGGAACGUGCCCUUCAGUUCGGAAUAACCCAGGGAAACUUGGGCUAAUACCGGAUACGUGCGAGAGCAGAAAGAUUUAUCGCUGAAGGAUCGGCCCGCGUCUGAUUAGCUAGUUGGUGAGGUAAUGGCUCACCAAGGCGACGAUCAGUAGCUGGUCUGAGAGGAUGAUCGGCCACAUUGGGACUGGGACACGGCCCAAACUCCUACGGGAGGCAGCAGUGGGGAAUAUUGGACAAUGGGCGCAAGCCUGAUCCAGCCAUGCCGCGUGAGUGAUGAAGGCCUUAGGGUUGUAAAGCUCUUUCAGUGGGGACGAUAAUGACGGUACCCGCAGAAGAAGCCCCGGCUAACUUCGUGCCAGCAGCAGCCGCGG
rnacentral:rRNA from 1 species